CCCAGAGAGAGCAUUGUGUCUAUCUGGAGAUAUCCUGCUGUGAUGGAGCGGCUGAGAGCCCUUCGAGGUCUCUUUGCCUGUGUGGGCUGCGUGCCCAGACGUACGCGUCGCAGGGAGAGAGGCAGGGUGGCAAGCCCUGUCCCCCCCUGUGCCGUGACUUUGCUGCUGCAGCGCCUGCAAGACCAGGAGGUGAGCUGGGGACAUCCAACCAUCAAUCCUUGCCCUGGCCCAGCGCCACGGUCCCGUGGGUGCCAGGCCCCGGCAGCACACUGGCAUGGCGGGCAGCUCCCCGGGAAGAAGGGCAAAGCAAAACGUGAUUGAUCCCUGUCCCCAGGGAGACCGAGCGCAGGCGUACUGCGAGCUGGAGCACGUCCUGUGGGAAGGUGACAGCCGCCCGCCGUGCGGAGUGGUGAACCGGCUGCUGGCUGAGGUGUCCCAGGACCUGACAGCAGCCCAGGGCGUGCCGGACAGCGUGAGGACGGCAGCCAGCAAUGUCCUGGUGGCUCUGGCCAGAACACACUUCACCUUGGUGAUGGCCGAGCUCCAGGGCCACCUGAAGGCCGUGGGGGAGAUGUCGAAGGAG
ensembl:lncRNA